AUAGAAAUAGAGACGGAUCCAAUGUCUACCCUUUUGGCCGAUCGAGAAUGUGUAUUUUGAGGGUUCACUGAAGAUUCUUGCUAGCAAACAGAAAGAUUCUUCAG